rnacentral:rRNA from 1 species
CAGCCGCCACGGUAAUACGUAGGGUGCAAGCGUUAUCCGGAAUUAUUGGGCGUAAAGAGCUCGUAGGCGGUUUGUCGCGUCUGCUGUGAAAACUGGAGGCUCAACCUCCAGCCUGCAGUGGGUACGGGCAAACUAGAGUGCGGUAGGGGAGAUUGGAAUUCCUGGUGUAGCGGUGGAAUGCGCAGAUAUCAGGAGGAACACCGAUGGCGAAGGCAGAUCUCUGGGCCGUAACUGACGCUGAGGAGCGAAAGCAUGGGGAGCGAACAGGAUUAGAUACCCCCGUAGUCCCUGUCUCUUAUAA